rnacentral:rRNA from 1 species
AGAGCGAACGCUGGCGGCAGGCUUAACACAUGCAAGUCGAGCGGGCGUAGCAAUACGUCAGCGGCAGACGGGUGUGUAACGCGUGGGAACGUACCUUUUGGUUCGGAACAACACAGGGAAACUUGUGCUAAUACCGGAUAAGCCCUUACGGGGAAAGAUUUAUCGCCAAAAGAUCGGCCCGCGUCUGAUUAGCUAGUUGGUGAGGUAACGGCUCACCAAGGCGACGAUCAGUAGCUGGUCUGAGAGGAUGAUCAGCCACAUUGGGACUGAGACACGGCCCAAACUCCUACGGGAGGCAGCAGUGGGGAAUAUUGGACAAUGGGCGCAAGCCUGAUCCAGCCAUGCCGCGUGAGUGAUGAAGGCCCUAGGGUUGUAAAGCUCUUUUGUGCGGGAAGAUAAUGACGGUACCGCAAGAAUAAGCCCGGCUAACUUCGUGCCAGCAGCCGC